CCUACGGGGGGCUGCAGUCGCGAAUUUUUCUCAAUGGGCGCAAGCCUGAAGAAGCCAUGCCGCGUGCGGGACGAAGGCCCUCUGGGUUGUAAACCGCUGUCAGGGAAGGGGAAACGCUGGGUGUUAACAGCAUCCAGUUUGACUGCUUUCCAAAGGAAGCCCCGGCAAAACAUGUGCCAGCAGCCGCGGUAAUACAUGUGGGGCGAGCGUUGUUCGGAAUCACUGGGCAUAAAGGGUGCGUAGGCGGCAUGAUACGUCUUGGGUGAAAUCCUGCG
rnacentral:rRNA from 1 species